AGAGUUUGAUCCUGGCUCAGAACGAACGUUGGCGGCGUGGAUUAGGCAUGCAAGUCGAACGAAGACGGGGUAGCAAUAUCCCGGACUGAGUGGCGAAAGGGGCAGUAAGGCGUGGGUAACCUACCUUCGGGACGGGGAUAGCCUUCCUAACGGGAGGGUAAUACCCGGCGACGUAGCGAGGGGGCAUCUCCUUGUUACCA
rnacentral:rRNA from 1 species